GGAACAUGAGUGUCAUGACAAACGGCUGUGGUUCUAGAGAGAAAGCAAGGUUGGCUCUCAAAAGAAUGAAUCAAGCCCGUAAACAGGAUAAGAGGUCUUUAUCUAUCUCCACUAAGGCUAAAAGUGAUGAGGAAAUGGCUGAAGCAAGGCUAGCUACUACUUCUAGUGAUUCUCCACAGAUUCGUGGGUCAAAAAGAUCUAUCAUAAGUUUUUUGUCUUACUUUUUUCUGGAAGGACGACUAUCUCUAAGUGUUGCUGCUUUACUACUAUUAUAGAUUGGAAAAUCUUAUAAUGGAGGCUAUAAGCAACUUGAAGGAGCCGGGUGGUUCCAACAAGACUACUAUAGCAACGUACAUAGAGGUACUCAUCUUCUUGUUGAGCUUAAUGUCCGAAAAGUAAGACAAUUUAGAGCAGUACUGCUUAGUUAAAUUGCACUAUAUUCUUUCAUAGGGCCUCUUAACACAUUUUGGAAUUUUGAAGUCUUGCUUGUCAUGCCAUCAAUAACAUUCUGAAUGGUGUUUGCUCUUGGUGCUUCUUGCUAAUUCAAGUAUGAGUUCUUC